UAUAAAAAUGAAAUUUUAAGGAAACAAAACUGCGGCAAACUCGCAUUCUUCCUCCUACACUCUCUUUGCUCUCUCUCUGAUGCACUGACCCUCGCACACUCGUUCGCCAUGGAAGAGAGCUUUCCAGACUCGUCGAGGUUGCACCUGGACGGAAACCCAUGUCGUCUACUGAUUUCCUGCAGAGGCUGCCGUCCGAUUCUAAAACGCGAUGUUUGAUUUUGGUUUAUUUAAUUUUGCAUCUGAAGGUUUGAUUUUCUGCCGUCCGAUCGGGACUCGAGAGCCUUCUCCCGAUUCUAAAAUGUCAUGCCAACGCCGACAGUCAUGGCUGCAGAAUUAUUUUUCAUUUUUCUCUUUUAAUUUUUUUGUGUUUUAAGAAUAAAAUGGAUAUUUAAUCCAACUGUAAAUAAGUUGUAUAUAUGGCAGAUUUUGAGUAUAAGUG
rnacentral:lncRNA from 1 species